rnacentral:rRNA from 1 species
ACGAACGCUGGCGGCGUGCCUAAUACAUGCAAGUCGAACGGUCUUUCUAUGGAAGCUUGCUUCCACUGAGAAGAUAGUGGCGAACGGGUGAGUAACACGUGGGUAACCUGCCCAUAAGAGGGGGAUAACAUCCGGAAACGGGUGCUAAUACCGCAUAGUUUUCUUGAUCGCAUGAUUGAGAAAGGAAAGACGGCCUUUGUGCUGUCGCUUAUGGAUGGACCCGCGGCGUAUUAGUUAGUUGGUGAGGUAACGGCUCACCAAGACGAUGAUACGUAGCCGACCUGAGAGGGUGAUCGGCCACAUUGGGACUGAGACACGGCCCAAACUCCUACGGGAGGCAGCAGUAGGGAAUCUUCCGCAAUGGACGAAAGUCUGACGGAGCAACGCCGCGUGAGUGAAGAAGGUUUUCGGAAUCGUAAAACUCUGUUGUCAGAGAAGAACAAGUUGGAGAGUAACUGCUCCAGCCUUGACGGUAUCUGACCAGAAAGCCACGGCUAACUACGUGCCAGCAGCUGC